rnacentral:rRNA from 1 species
UCUCUCUGAAUCUGCGAACGGCUCCACAUAUCAGUUGCGACAUAACGACCCGCUCCAUGCCCCGUAGGGACCAGCAAUGGCCUCGAAAGGGAUCUACAUGGAUAACCUCGGUAAUUCUGAGGCUAAUACAUGACACGAAAGCCGACCCAGCAAUGGGCCGUGCUCAAGAGCAAUAACGUCACGGCGGUUUUGCUAAUCAAAUCAUGAUGCGAAUACACCCUUGAGUCGACCGUCAUAAAAAAACGCUAUUGGGAUCAAAGCUCCUGCUGCGAGGUAGGGGCCUAGUGAACGGUAGCGUGGCGGCCGGGUUGAGUGGCUCCUGACCUAUCAUACUAGAAGCUGGGGUAAUGCCCCAGCUUGGUCGCAACGGGUACAGAGGAUUAGGGUUCGAUCCUGGAGAGUGGGCCUGAGAGAUU